rnacentral:rRNA from 1 species
UACGAAUUGUGCAAACGUUAUUCGGAAUCACUGGGCUUAAAGGGUGCGUAGGCGGCUAUGAAGGUCUGAUGUGAAAUCCCACGGCUCAACCGUGGAAUUGCGUUGGAAACCACAUGGCUUGAGGAAGACAGAGGUGAGCGGAACUAAUGGUGGAGCGGUGAAAUGUGUUGAUAUCAUUAGGAACACCGGUGGCGAAAGCGGCUCGCUGGGUCUUUUCUGACGCUGAGGCACGAAAGCUAGGGUAGCAAACGGGAUUAGAUACCCCGGUAGUCCUAGCCGUAAACGAUGAGCACUAGACUGAGGGGACCCCCACAUCCUCUCGGUCGUAGCGAAAGUGUUAAGUGCUCCGCCUGGGGAGUAUGGUCGCAAGGCUGAA